UAACCACAGGUUCUGUCAGACCUGGGCUCUGACCGUUAACCACAGGUUCUGUCAGCCCUGGGCUCUGACCGUUAACCACAGGUUCUGUCAGCCCUGGGCUCUGACCGUUAACCACAGGUUCUGUCAGCCCUGGGCUCUGACCGUUAACCACAGGUUCUGUCAGCCCUGGGCUCUGACCGUUAACCACAGGUUCUGUCAGCCCUGGGCUCUGACCGUUAACCACAGGUUCUGUCAGCCCUGGGCUCUGACCGUUAACCACAGGUUCUGUCAGCCCUGGGCUCUGACCGUUAACCACAGGUUCUGUCAGCCCUGGGCUCUGACCGUUAACCACAGGUUCUGUCAGCCCUGGGCUCUGACCGUUAACCACAGGUUCUGUCAGCCCUGGGCUCUGACCGUUAACCACAGGUUCUGUCAGCCCUGGGCUCUGACCGUUAACCACAGGUUCUGUCAGCCCUGGGCUCUGACCGUUAACCACAGGUUCUGUCAGCCCUGGGCUCUGACCGUUAACCACAGGUUCUGUCAGCCCUGGGCUCUGACCGUUAACCACAGGUUCUGUCAGCCCUGGGCUCUGACCGUUAACCACAGGUUCUGUCAGCCCUGGGCUCUGACCGUUAACCACAGGUUCUGUCAGCCCUGGGCUCUGACCGUUAACCACAGGUUCUGUCAGCCCUGGGCUCUGACCGUUAACCACAGGUUCUGUCAGCCCUGGGCUCUGACCGUUAACCACAGGUUCUGUCAGCCCUGGGCUCUGACAGAAAAAAUAAACAAAUAUAAUGACACUCCAAAAAAGGUCCGGAAAUCAGGAUGACAAAUAUAAAUUCUAUUUGGACAUAGUUCUAUUAGAACACACCAACAACGACACAUAUCUAGGACUAAAUAUCAGCAACACAGGUAGCUUUAACAUGGCUGUGAAGGAGCUGAGAGACAAAGCAAGAAGAGCAUUCUAUGCCAUUAAAAGGAACAUUAACAUAGAAAUUCCUAUUAGAAUCUGGCUCAAAAUGUUCCAAUCAGUUAUAGAACCAAUUGCUCUAUAUGGCAGUGAAGUAUGGGGUCCAAUCUCUAAUAAUGAAUUAACCAAAUGGGACAAACAUCCAAUGGAAAUACUGCAUGCAGAGUUUUGCAAGACUGUAUUGCAAGUGCAAAGAAAACCUCCAGAUAAGGCAUGUGGAGCAGAAUUGGGCCAACACCUCCUCCUCAUGCGAACAGAAAAAAGAGCCAUCCCAUUUUAAACCAUCUAAAAACAAGUGACCCCAAAACAUUCCAUCACACAGCUCUACAAUGUCAAGAGAUGAAACAAGAGGAGAGUCCACUCAGCCAGCUGGUUCUGAGGCUCAGUUCACUAACCCAAACCAACCCCAUAGAGCCUCAGAACAGCACUCAGAAAAUCUGGCCCAACCAAAUCAUCACAAAACAAAAAGAAAAAUAUAUCACCUAUUGGAAAGACACCAAAAAAAAGUAAACUUCAAUGCUAUUUGUCUCUAAACACAGUACAUGGUGGCAGACUAUCUGACCACCGUGACUGAUAGAAAACUGAGGAAAACAUUGACUAGGUACAGACUCAGUGAGCACAGUCUGGCUAUAGAGACCGGUCGUCACAGACAAACCUGGCUGCCCAGAGAGGACAGGCUGUGCUCACUCUGCUCCACGGGACAGAGCUGCAUUUCCUAUUACACUGUGACAAAUACUCAGCCCAAAGAGAAUAUUUAUUUACCAAAAUUAUAAUUCAAUACAAAGAAUACGAAACUAUAAAAGAUGAAGAAAAAAAAUCAAAUAUUUAUUGGGUCAAAAUCCAAAAUGUGCAGUUUUGGCAGCCGAAUAUGUCUUUCAUACCAGGUCAUGUGUCUUCUCAGUCAUGUUGACACUGGUCUACUACCAGGUCAUGUGUCUUCUCAGUCAUGUUGACACUGGUCUACUACCAGGUCAUGUGUCCUCUCAGUCAUGUUGACACUGGUCUACUACCAGGUCAUGUGUCUUCUCAGUCAUGUUGACACUGGUCGACUACCAGGUCAUGUGUCCUCUCAGUCAUGUUGACACUGGUCUACUACCAGGUCAUGUGUCUCCUCAGUCAUGUUGACACUGGUCUACUACCAGGUCAUGUGUCUCCUCAGUCAUGUUGACACUGGUCUACUACCAGGUCAUGUGUCUCCUCAGUCAUGUUGACACUGGUCUACUACCAGGUCAUGUGUCUCCUCAGUCAUGUUGACACUGGUCUACUACCAGGUCAUGUGUCUCCUCAGUCAUGUUGACACUGGUCUACUACCAGGUCAUGUGUCUCCUCAGUCAUGUUGACACUGGUCGACUACCAGGUCAUGUGUCUUCUCAGUCAUGUUGACACUGGUCGACUACCAGGUCAUGUGUCUCCUCAGUCAUGUUGACACUGGUCCACUACCAGGUCAUGUGUCUUCUCUGUCAUGUUGACACUGGUCCACUACCAGGUCAUGUGUCUUCUCAGUCAUGUUGACACUGGUCCACUACCAGGUCAUGUGUCUUCUCUGUCAUGUUGACACUGGUCUACUACCAGGUCAUGUGUCUCCUCAGUCAUGUUGACACUGGUCUACUACCAGGUCAUGUGUCUCCUCAGUCAUGUUGACACUGGUCUACUACCAGGUCAUGUGUCUCCUCAGUCAUGUUGACACUGGUCUACUACCAGGUCAUGUGUCCUCUCAGUCAUGUUGACACUGGUCUACUACCAGGUCAUGUGUCCUCUCAGUCAUGUUGACACUGGUCCACUACCAGGUCAUGUGUCUCCUCAGUCAUGUUGACACUGGUCUACUACCAGGGCAUGUGUCUUCUCAGUCAUGUUGACACUGGUCUACUACCAGGUCAUGUGUCUCCUCAGUCAUGUUGACACUGGUCUACUACUAGGUCAUGUGUCUUCUCAGUCAUGUUGACACUGGUCUACUACUAGGUCAUGUGUCCUCUCAGUCAUGUUGACACUGGUCUACUACCAGGUCAUGUGUCUUCUCAGUCAUGUUGACACUGGUCUACUACCAGGUCAUGUGUCCUCUCAGUCAUGUUGACACUGGUCUACUACCAGGUCAUGUGUCUCCUCAGUCAUGUUGACACUGGUCUACUACCAGGUCAUGUGUCUUCUCAGUCAUGUUGACACUGGUCUACUACCAGGUCAUGUGUCCUCUCAGUCAUGUUGACACUGGUCUACUACCAGGUCAUGUGUCCUCUCAGUCAUGUUGACACUGGUCCACUACCAGGUCAUGUGUCUUCUCAGUCAUGUUGACACUGGUCUACUACUAGGUCAUGUGUCUUCUCAGUCAUGUUGACACUGGUCUACUACUAGGUCAUGUGUCUUCUCAGUCAUGUUGACACUGGUCUACUACCAGGUCAUGUGUCUCCUCAGUCAUGUUGACACUGGUCUACUACCAGGUCAUGUGUCUUCUCAGUCAUGUUGACACUGGUCUACUACCAGGUCAUGUGUCUUCUCAGUCAUGUUGACACUGGUCUACUACCAGGUCAUGUGUCUUCUCAGUCAUGUUGACACUGGUCUACUACCAGGUCAUGUGUCUUCUCAGUCAUGUUGACACUGGUCGACUACCACUGCUUUAAUGUAUUGUUAUUCUCAUUAAUAUUGUUGUUGUUGUUGUUGUUGUUAAUGGUAAUCCCACAACUACUAUUAUUAUUGCUGUUGGUCCCACCAUUUAUUUAUAUAUAAAAAAUAU